AGAGUUUGAUCCUGGCUCAGAAUCAACGCUGGCGGCGUGCCUAACACAUGCAAGUCGAACGAGAAAGUGGAGCAAUCCAUGAGUAAAGUGGCGACCGGGUGAGUAACACGUGACUAACCUACCUUCGAGUGGGGAAUAACUUCGGGAAACCGAGGCUAAUACCGCAUAACACCGAGAGGUCAAAGGAGUAAUUCGCUUGA
rnacentral:rRNA from 1 species